rnacentral:rRNA from 1 species
AUUUAUUAGAUAAAAAACCAAUGCCUUUCGGGGCUCUUUGGUGAUUCAUGAUAACUUAACGGAUCGCAUGGCCUUGCGCCGGCGACGGUUCAUUCAAAUUUCUGCCCUAUCAACUUUCGAUGGUAAGGUAUUGGCUUACCAUGGUUUCAACGGGUAACGGGGAAUUAGGGUUCGAUUCCGGAGAGGGAGCCUGAGAAACGGCUACCACAUCCAAGGAAGGCAGCAGGCGCGCAAAUUACCCAAUCCCGACACGGGGAGGUAGUGACAAUAAAUACUGAUACAGGGCUCUUUUGGGUCUUGUAAUCGGAAUGAGUACAAUUUAAACCCCUUAACGAGGAACAAUUGGAGGGCAAGUCUGGUGCCAGCAGCCGCGGUAAUUCCAGCUCCAAUAGCGUAUAUUAAAGUUGUUGCAGUUAAAAAGCUCGUAGUUGAACCUUGGGCCUGGCUGGCCGGUCCGCCUCACCGCGUGUACUGGUCCGGCCGGGCCUUUCCUUCUGGAGAGCCGCAUGCCCUUCACUGGGCGUGUCGGGGAACCAGGACUUUUACUUUGAAAAAAUUAGAGUGUUCAAAGCAGGCCUUUGCUCGAAUACGUUAGCAUGGAAUAAUAGAAUAGGACGCGCGGUCCUAUUUUGUUGGUUUCUAGGACCGCCGUAAUGAUUAAUAGGGAUAGUCGGGGGCAUCAGUAUUCAAUUGUCAGAGGUGAAAUUCUUGGAUUUAUUGAAGACUAACUACUGCGAAAGCAUUUGCCAAGGAUGUUUUCAUUAAUCAGUGAACGAAAGUUAGGGGAUCGAAGACGAUCAGAUACCGUCGUAGUCUUAACCGUAAACUAUGCCGACUAGGGAUCGGGCGGUGUUUCAAUAUUGACCCGCUCGGCACC